rnacentral:rRNA from 1 species
UACAGAGGGUGCAAGCGUUAAUCGGAAUUACUGGGCGUAAAGGGCGCGUAGGCGGUUAGGUAAGUCGGAUGUGAAAUCCCCGGGCUCAACCUGGGAAUUGCAUUCGAUACUGCUUAGCUAGAGUGUGGAAGAGGGAAGCGGAAUUUCCGGUGUAGCGGUGAAAUGCGUAGAUAUCGGAAGGAACACCAGUGGCGAAGGCGGCUUCCUGGUCCAACACUGACGCUGAGGCGCGAAAGCGUGGGGAGCGAACAGG